rnacentral:rRNA from 1 species
GACGAACGCUGGCGGCGUGCUUAACACAUGCAAGUCGAACGAAGUGGCGCACGGGUGAGUAACGCGUAAUCAACCUGCCCUUCAGUGGGGGACAACAGUUGGAAACGACUUCUAAUACCGCAUACUGAAGGUGGGGUUUGCGUCUGAUUAGCUAGUUGGAGGGGUAACGGCCCACCAAGGCGAAGAUCAGUAGCCGGUCUGGAGGGAUGAACGGCCAAAUUGGGACUGGGACACGGCCCAGGAUCCUACGGGAGGCAGCAGGGGGGAAUCUUCCGCAAUGGACGAAAGGCUGACGGAGCAACGCCGCGUGAGUGAUGACGGCCUUCGGGUUGUAAAGCUCUGUUAAUCGGGACGCGGUACCGGAAUAGAAAGCCACGGCUAACUACGUGCCAGCAGCCGCGGUAAUUC